AGAAAGUGAAAUAGCCUUAUUGCUGAUAGGGAGAAAGUUCAAAUGGUCUGGAUGGAAGAUCAAACCAACACAAUAGUCCCUUAAGCCAAAGUCUAAUCCAGAACAAGACCCUAACUCUCUUCAAUUCUAUGAGUUCUGAGAGAGGUGAGAAAUUUCCAGAAGAAA